rnacentral:rRNA from 1 species
CGUGUAGGCGGUCAGGUAAGUGGAAUGUGAAAUGCCCCGGCUCACCCGGGGGACCGGCAUCCCAAACUGCCUGGCUUGAGUAUGGGAGAGGAUGGAGGAAUUCCUGGUGUAGCGGUGAAAUGCGUAGAUAUCAGGAGGAACACCGGUGGCGAAGGCGUCCAUCUGGCCCAAUACUGACGCUGAGGCGCGAAAGCUAGGGGAGCAAACG